rnacentral:lncRNA from 1 species
CAUAAAUAGUGACCAAAAAGGUACCGCUAUCACAUGAGAGAAGCUAGGAAAAAGUAAAAUGUAUAUAUUUUAAAUAUUUUUGUGGGAGCAUGAAAUGUAGUACACAUAUAGAUAGAUAUUCAUAGACCAUAGAACAAAUAAGCAAACAAAUUCAAAGGAAAUGUAAAUGUAAGAUGAAUAAUGAAAAAAGAAGAGCCAUGGCCAGGGGCCC